GUUUCCGAGUUUUACAGCGGUUUUAUUUGGGGUUUCCUGUCGCCUUUCUUUUUUAUGAGAGGCGCUCUCCUUUCCCUUGCUUAUAUACAUCCUGUCGCAGGUCGAUGCCUCCUUCCCUGGGACCAGGGAAUGCUCGAGUUGAUAUACCCUCUGAGUUUGAUGAUGAGCGUGCAAUCGCAUCAUGCGCUCGGCUCAUUCAACCGCGCCAGAGCAAUAAUAUUCCUGUGAUAAUGAUUGUGACAGCGACGCUUCAGUGCCUCGAGCUGAAUAUAGAUACAUACAUGGCGAAAGAGAUAAUGAUAGCGGUGAUGAUGAAGAUAACGAUGCCGCUCUAACGUUACCAACUCUCGCCUGUCGCAUGUCAUAUUUCCCAAGACCUUCCCGCCAUAAAAUCGGACACGAAGAAAAUCCAACCAGCCCUUAAACACCAAUUUAGCCCAAGUGGCUGUCUUUUAAUAAACAUAUUAUGGAGCAAUUGCUGCAGGAAGAAAGACUAGAUUGAAUGAGAAUUUUGAGUAAGCGUGAAACCAAAUAUACGAUAUCGCUUUAAAAUGUUGAUCGCGAGGGAGAUAGAAGACGUGCGGGAGUCGUUUAGAUGAGGAGGGGAUAGGUGGCGAAGUACUGAAGGAAAAGAAAUCGUUACACAGGGUGAAUGUGACAGUAGGGAGCUGCAAGUGCACGAGCCUGACACAAUGUACACAACAGGAAAAGACAACUUGUCACAUGCGAUGUGCACGAAUAAAGAGGACCCCGCGGAAAAGCACACUUUUAUGUAUAUACGCAUCUAGGCAUUAACUUGCAGUUUUAUGUCAUGAUUUUCUGCGGUCGAUGAGAAAUAAUUCCAGCACAUCAGCGAUGCCUAUCAAAGCGGGCUCGGGAGCCACCAUUGAUACAUAUCGGCCGGUAGAUUUUCCCUGACAGAUUUGUGGCCAUCAUAUAAUAUCAAGCCUGGCCAAACGACCCCGGACCGCGAAUUUGAAAUAACUCUCUCAGUUCGUGGCAGUGGAGGCGGACAGGCCGGGUCGGCGCGGGGAGCAUGCAGGCAUGAACAGUGAGGACAGACACAAGACGCCGCCUGGCGAAGUGCACCCAUGCGAUGUUGCAGGGGAGAUAGCAGGGGAAGAGGAGAAGCAUCAGUACCAAAAACUGCGGCGAUUCUCCCUACCAUAAGAGAACUACAAACGUGUGGUAAAGGCCCAGCAUCCAGGCCUGGUCAGCCUGCUGACAGACGGUGAUGGAUGGAGCGGGGCACCGGCGGUCCAGCCUUCGGUUUCGAUCACACUUAUCACCGAGCACAAUGACAGCGCGCGACGGUGGGGGACGACACCGCGUGAUUUAUCGGGACCGUCCUCGGACGUGUGGUGGCGGGAGACAAAAACGUGAUGAAUGGGACAUUUCGGCGGAGGGGACCGGGUCGGGAUUCAUCAAAGCCGCCGCGCCAUCCCAGGAGAGCUCACCCACUCCUUCGACCCUUUCAGCCGAUGACCAAUCACCCACCUCGUCUUCUCCCCAUCCCGGCCGGCUACUAGUUAAAAAGAUAAGCCCUUAUUAAUACCCGCGUCCCUCCCGCUAUCUCCCCCAAUCUACAGGGAUAAACCGCGUGCGAAUGGGCAAUUAUUGUUAUCAAUUUCAUAUCGCUCAGACAGAGCAACUUAGCCUAUCUGUGGAGCGUUACAUUUUAUUGGUUUCAUUCUCACCUGUCGGAUUUGGCCCUGGGAGGACUGGAAAUUACGACAGUGAUGGCGGCCGAAGAUCGGCAAUUUAAUUAAACUCCGAACGAUUAAAGGGGCACUUUGGUUUAUCAACCGAAUCCACUUAGGGCGUUUUAAUGAAAGGGAGAUUUCCCUCCGCAAAUCAGAUCGGAAAGUUUGUCCAUAAAUUUCCGGGAGGGUAAACUUUCAGGAAGUUGUAGAACAGUCAUAAAAAAGUUGUAGAAAAACAAACUUUUUGACGUGUUGGAGGAACGAGUUGUAUUGGCAGAUAAGUUGGGGUUCUACCGAACUUUAUAACGAUGUUCUACUGUAUUAUCGUACUGAUAGCUCAUAUUUGGAGAACCGUUUUUGUGCAAUACUGAACAAUUUUACUCGUUUAAGACCACCAGUAGGUGUAACGUACUGCACCUACCGCUGCACUUGUCCUACUUCAGGUUGACUGGUAUAUGUCCUAUAGGGCAGUGAACUUCUUCACAUGAUCAGUAGAUGGUAGGUUAUCCGCUUCUACAUGGGGUAUUUCGUGUAUGUCUAUGUAUUACGAAUAUGUUACGUCAUUGGUGACUUAUCAUGACUAUUUGACCUCUAGAUAUUUGUCCAUAAACAACACAUUUCUCCCGGGGAAGUAUCAGGCUGGACGGACAUUCUGACGCACAAUAAACACAGUGGUCACAUCUAAA